ACUGCAGGAAAACAGGACACAAUGUACUGCGAGCGAGGAAAAGAACGCGGCCGAACCUUUCCUAUCUCUUGGUGGGCUCUCUACCUCUCAAACCCUAUUUUCUCUCAUCCCACUCUUCCCGGCGGCGGAGGCUACUGAGAGUAGCACGGAGCGGGCAGCCGACGACGAAGAGCUGGGAGAAAUGGAGGCGAGGAACGGCGAGAUCUGAAUGGCGGCGGGGAACGGCAAGCUCGUGAGUGGCGGCGGGGAACGGCGGGCGUGGUUGGCUUGGAUCACGAUGCAGGUACGUCUUAUCGGCGAGCAGUGUGGCGGCGGCAACAAAGGUACCAGCGAUGGCUCGCUUCCGCCUGCGCAGUGUGGUUGCAGCAGCAGCGCAGUUCAUGGUUUGUCAGCUGUCGUCGUCGCCGGCGCGGGACACAGUACCACUAUUUUUCAGCGACGCGAAGCUUCAGAAGCAGAGGUUUGUGGCAGAUUGAAUCGAUGGAUCAGACUUCAGCGGCAGAGGUGGGUGCCAAAUUGAACUACAAUAUCUCCUUGAUGGGUGGCUGGUGUUCCAAUGUAUUGUUUCUAUGAAAGAUGCAAGUUCUAGGCAAAUGCAUUGCGAGAUGCUGAUAAUAACCAUUUUUCAUUGGUCUCUCAGAGCUGUCUACCACAGCGUAACUUUGAUUAUGUAUAUAGUUAUCUCAUGGAGACAUGGAAACAAACAUCAACUUUGUUGGCUCGUUAGUGAAUUUCCUGAAGGGUUUAUUGUUACAGAUGAUUCUCUAUGGAAGCAAGCUUUUUCUACUUAAAGUUGAACAAUUGUAUGACUGAGGACUUGUUGUUCCCAUCUUAUUCAUAAUGAUUACAAACAUCAUAUCAGCACAUUGACAUGCCAUUUUUAUUUCAGUUUCGACGAUCCUUAUUACAUGGAGCAGGUAGAUACUUUGACUCUAUGUUACCUGAAAUUGUCAAGAGAGAUUGUAGAAAGGUGCAUACGUGUCUUUUUUUCUUUCAGUUUAUGAUGCGGCUACCCUAAUUAUCGCCCUUUUCCUACAUUUGGUAGUUCGGUUGGCCCUCAUCCAUUCAUCCAUUUAUACCAGAUAACCAUUACCACAUGUACUUUUAUUUAUCAGAAUCAGCUCGCAUUAGCUAAAAUAUCAUGGUAUGCUGCUAUUAUUAGAUUAGCCCCUUCCCUUUAAAACACCAAUUUGCAAAUUGAUUUUUUGUCUGGAGAUCUAUCUGUGUUGCCCUCCUUCAGAUCUUGUAGAUCAAAGCAAUAUGUUUUCACUUUCAGCACCACAAUACAAUUUUGGAUAUGAUAUUAUCUGGUAAAGAAAUAACAGGAGGCUCAAUUCUUUAGCUAUGAUUCGUGUUGCGUCAUACUGUUAUUGCUCAUUUAUCUCCCUACGUAAGUGUCGCGGUCCUAUAAUUCUAGAUGCUUGAACAUGCACAUUGUUUCUUGCAAAUUUUCUUUUUGAAGUAAUAUAUGUGUUGAGUGACCUUUGCUAGAUGAGAGAGACUAGGUUAUCUGAACGGUUUUUAGAUGGAUUAUUGUAUUUUAUUGCCACGGGCUGGUGGAUGUAGAUAUAGGAUAAGCAAGAAAGUGUUUGCUAGAUAAAGUGUUUGGUAGAUACAGGCUGGUGGAUCAUCAAUUAAUUAUUUCAUAGAAACCAGUAAAGUUCUGACAAGUUGUUAUCCCACUUUGGCAUGUGUUCUUUUGCUUCGCUGCAUGUCUGCAUCUGAAUUGUUUGUGCACUACGCUAAUAUUUUCUGAGCUUAUAACGUUCUUUGUUGGCCAUACGAAACUUGGUUGAGGUCAGACAAGGAUAAGAAUUUAGUGUAUGAAUUAUGCCUUUCAGCCUAUAUGCAAUUAUCAUUGUAUUAAAGAUAUGAUAUUCCACAUUCAUUUCAAAUUUCAUCCCAUUUUACUUUGUAUCUCAACGCAUGCUUAUUUUGUCUCUACACCAUGGACCAUGCCCCUUUCAUCGUGCCAAGGUUUGCCAUCCCGUUGGUUACACUUGUUAUGUUUAGAUACUCAUCAGAUUUUUUUUUUUGUAGAAAUAGAGAGAGCCAUAUUUUUUUAGUUCACACUCACGACUGUUUGCUUUGAUUGCAGGGUCAUCAUUCAACUCCACCGCAGCAUCAACACCUUGCUUUUGCAUGCAAUUUUCACACAACUGAUUUGAGCUGAAGUGAUUGCGUCAUCUUCUUUGUGCAAUUAAAGUGACAUAAUUUCUCCUGUGGAGAGAAGCUUUCAAUUUGAGUGCUUUUACUCUUCUCCUUGAGUCCAUGUCAUUGACAUAGUCGGUUUAUCACACCAGUUGGUAUGUGCACUCCAUUCUCCUCCAUAUUCCAUUACUUGGUUUGAUAUCUUAAUAUGUGAUGUGGUUGAGAAUGUGAGACGGUCAGGCAAUGAGAGAUCAUGGGUUAUUGCCGUUGUUUGCCAAUGUUCUUAUCUCGAUUUGAGACAGCGAGAAACCAUCGAUUGUUUAGAUGCAUCCCUUUCUGUGUUCAUUUAGAUUAGAUUACCCUUUAUUCCCUAUUGUUAUGCUCUAGCAAUACUGUUGAUGGGAAUGACAGCCCCUACAUACCCAGGUGCGCUUUCUAUCUCUACCAUUGGGUACCAAUUAUUGAUUCUUAAUCUGAGAUAAUGUAUCAUUUAGUAUUUGUUUUAUCCCCUUCAAGAAUGUAUCUUUGUCCAUGCACAUAUUUGCUGCUAUGGUGAACUUUCCAAUGUGUUCUGUAUGAUACUAUAACCUAAUCUCUUUUAGUAUUAUCUGUUUUCGAUUAUGCUUUUCCUUUUGUUAUAUUGUUUAAUAAAGUUCUGAAGAUAUUUUGAUAUGAACAAUAAAACCAGUUCUUAGUUAUAAAUCUGUCAAUAGUAAUGCCUGAAAAUUAGAGUUGCUUGCAUUGACACACAUUUGUGCAUUUGUAGUUAUUGCUAUGAUAUGCCACAUCCUUUCUUUAAUUAUCUUAUGUUUUAUAUUAAUGAAAAGAAAGGAACAUGUAUUGACCAUCUUGUACAAGUAUUGCUUCACACAGGAUAGUAAAAUGAAAUAGUAAAGUAAUAGCAUUGCCACUUUGUUACUGCUUCGCCACAUUUGCUGAAACAUAUUAAAUAAGACACUGCAAUUUACAGGAUUGUGACGCAUUCCCUGACUAUGAAAUUAAAAAAUCAUCCUAAGAGCACUGGAGGAACAUCAGCGAGAAUGAAGACUAGGCCAGGGAUUGAAGUGGGCCCUAAAAAACGCAAUAUCAACAGGAAACGGAUGGACCACUUCAGCAAUAUAGGCCACAUGUUGUGCAAAUUUCCUGAGAAGGCUGGGCCAUGGCCGAUAGUCCCGCUGAUGGUCAAGGAGGUGCUUAGUGGUCCUUAUCCUGUUAUUUUUCCUGAGAUCACAUUUCCAUGUGCUCCUUUAUUGCUUUACUAUGUGUCUCUUGCUAUCAACACUGGUCACCUGGAGAAGGGGAAGUAAUUGCAUGUGUUUGGUGAUUUUUGGCUCUACAUGAAAGUUGCACCGCGGAUCAUCUAUUGCAUAUUCCUUUGCUUCAUAUUAUUUCUCUCUCGUCCUGUCAUAUUUUUUUAUUUGACCUUUCAUAGGUUACAUGUUCAUUUUGGAGCGGUGUCGAUGUCAGUGCACACUUGUUCGUGACAUUAUUGUUUUACCUUUGUUUGUCAAUUAUGUCACUCCCUGAAGCUAAUAGUGAUAUGCAUAAUAUAUGGUCAGUACACUGCCUUCCUUAUUUUACACGUUUGCAAAUUUUCUUAUGUAAUUAGCCGCAUGAACCACACCAACCUAUGAUUCUGUAUUUAGGCCAGGCCAAACCAAUGGUAUCUUUAUGGUAUUGGAUUUUGUGUAAGACAUAUCUGUGCUAUCCUACAUGUCAGUUUAA